CGGCGGACGGUUUAGUAACGCGUGGGAAUGUACCCUUCUCUAAGGAAUAGCCUCUGGAAACGGAGAGUAAUACCUUAUACGCCCUUCGGGGGAAAGAUUUAUCGGAGAGGGAUCAGCCCGCGUUAGAUUANAUAGUUGGUGGGGUAAUGGCCUACCAAGUCUACGAUCUAUAGCUGGUUUUAGAGGAUGAUCAGCAACACUGGGACUGAGACACGGCCCAGACUCCUACGGGAGGCAGCAGUGGGGAAUCUUGGACAAUGGGCGCAAGCCUGAUCCAGCCAUGCCGCGUGAGUGAUGAAGGCCUUAGGGUCGUAAAGCUCUUUCGCCAGGGAUGAUAAUGACAGUACCUGGUAAAGAAACCCCGGCUAACUCCGUGCCAGCAGCCGCGGUAAUACGGAAGGGGGUUAGCGUUGUUCGGAAUUACUGGGCGUAAAGCGUACGUAGGCGGGUUGUUAAGUUAGAGGUGAAAUCCCAGGGCUCANCCCUGGAACUGCCUUUUAAUACUGGCAACCUANAGUUCGAGA
rnacentral:rRNA from 1 species